AGCAUAAGAGGUACUCGGGUAGCCGAGGAGACUUGCCAGUAGAGCCGAUUGUCUCUACGGAGAGAGCUCUCCAUGGGGCUACAGGCAAAUCAUCCUUGGCUAUCGAAGAUGGCCUCUUACAU
rnacentral:pre_miRNA from 1 species